GAAGGUGGCUAGCGUUGUUCGGUGUCACUGGGCUUAAAGCGUAUGUAGGCGGAAGAGUAAGCGUUUUGUGAAAUCCCUCGGCUUAACCGAGGAAUUGCUUGACGAACUGCUUUUCUUGAGGCAAGUAGGGGUGCAUGGAACUCUUGGUGGAGCGGUGGAAUGCGUAGAUAUCAAGAGGAACGCCAAUGGAGAAAUCAGUGCACUGGGCUUGUCCUGACGCUCAGAUACGAAAGCGUGGGGGAGCGAACGGGAUUAGAUACCCCGGUAGUCCACGCUGUAAACGAUGUCUACUAGGUUGUGGGAGUUCUGACACUGUCGCGACCGAAGCAAAAGUGUUAAGUAGACCGCCUGGGGAUACGGUCGCAAGGCUA
rnacentral:rRNA from 1 species